rnacentral:lncRNA from 1 species
AGUACAUUCACACCAAUUCAUGUCUUCAUACAUGUACUUUGGACAAUAAUCUACAUCACAUUCCACCAUCAUUUCUAACCCCAUGCCCCUCUCUUCUCCUCCCACCCCUCUGCCCUAUCUAGAGUUCCUCUAUUCCUCCCACACUCCCCCUCCCUACCUCACUGUGAAUCAGCCUCCGUAUAUCAGAGAAAACAUUCUGCAUUUGUUUUUUUGGGAUUGGCUAACUUCACUUAGCAUUAUCUUCUCUAACUCCAUCCAUUUACCUGCAAGUGCCAUGAUUUUAUUCUCUUUUAUUGCUGAGUAAUAUUCCAUUGUGUAUAUAUGC